UGUGGCCUUUAACUAGGGACAGGCACAGGUUGCUGCCACCUUUAACUAGGGACAGGCACAGGUUGUUGUGGCCUUUAACUAGGGACAGGCACAGGUUGUUGUGGCCUUUAACUAGGGACAGGCACAGGUUGUUGUGGCCUUUAACUAGGGACAGGCACAGGUUGCUGCCACCUUUAACUAGGGACAGGCACAGGUUGUUGUGGCCUUUAACUAGGGACAGGCACAGGUUGUUGUGGCCUUUAACUAGGGACAGGCACAGGUUGUUGUGGCCUUUAACUAGGGACAGGCACAGGUUGUUGUGGCCUUUAACUAGGGACAGGCACAGGUUGUUGUGGCCUUUAACUAGGGACAGGCACAGGUUGCUGCCACCUUUAACUAGGGACAGGCACAGGUUGUUGUGGCCUUUAACUAGGGACAGGCACAGGUUGCUGCCACCUUUAACUAGGGACAGGCACAGGUUGUUGUGGCCUUUAACUAGGGACAGGCACAGGUUGCUGCCACCUUUAACUAGGGACAGGCACAGGUUGUUGUGGCCUUUAACUAGGGACAGGCACAGGUUGCUGCCACCUUUAACUAGGGACAGGCACAGGUUGUUGUGGCCUUUAACUAGGGACAGGCACAGGUUGCUGCCACCUUUAACUAGGGACAGGCACAGGUUGUUGUGGCCUUUAACUAGGGACAGGCACAGGUUGUUGUGGCCUUUAACUAGGGACAGGCACAGGUUGCUGCCGCCUUUAACUAGGGACAGGCACAGGUUGUUGUGGCCUUUAACUAGGGACAGG